ACGGUACAACGAGUCGCAAACUCGCGAGAGUAAGCUAAUCUCUUAAAGCCGUUCUCAGUUCGGACUGUAGGCUGCAACUCGCCUACACGAAGUCGGAAUCGCUAGUAAUCGCGGAUCAGCAUGCCGCGGUGAAUACGUUCCCGGGCCUUGUACACACCGCCCGUCACACCACGGAAGUUGGGGGCGCCCGAAGCCACUUAGCUAACCCUUUUGGGAAGCGAGUGUCGAAGGUGAAAUCAAUAACUGGGGUGAAGUCGUAACAAGGUAAC
rnacentral:rRNA from 1 species